rnacentral:rRNA from 1 species
CCUAUAGCAUAGCGUUAAUGCACUAGAUCCCAUUAGAACUCUGCAGUUAAGCGUGUUGAAGCUAGAUUAGUACUGGGAUGGGUGACUGAUCGAGAAGUCGUAUUGUUUUAAAUGC